rnacentral:rRNA from 1 species
UACGUAGGGUGCGAGCGUUGUCCGGAAUUAUUGGGCGUAAAGAGCUCGUAGGCGGUGUGUCACGUCGGCCGUGAAAACCUGCAGCUUAACUGUGGGCGUGCGGUCGAUACGGGCAUCACUGGAGUUCGGCAGGGGAGACUGGAAUUCCUGGUGUAGCGGUGAAAUGCGCAGAUAUCAGGAGGAACACCGGUGGCGAAGGCGGGUCACUGGGCCGAUACUGACGCUGAGGAGCGAAAGCGUGGGGAGCAAACAGG